rnacentral:rRNA from 1 species
GGGGAAUCUUGCGCAAUGGGCGAAAGCCUGACGCAGCCAUGCCGCGUGAAUGAUGAAGGUCUUAGGAUUGUAAAAUUCUUUCACCGGGGACGAUAAUGACGGUACCCGGAGAAGAAGCCCCGGCUAACUUCGUGGCAGCAGCCGCGGUAAUACGAAGGGGGCUAGCGUUGCUCGGAAUUACUGGGCGUAAAGGGAGCGUAGGCGGACAUUUAAGUCAGGGGUGAAAUCCCGGGGCUCAACCUCGGAAUUGCCUUUGAUACUGGGUGUCUUGAGUAUGAGAGAGGUAUGUGGAACUCCGAGUGUAGAGGUGAAAUUCGUAGAUAUUCGGAAGAACACCAGUGGCGAAGGCGACAUACUGGCUCAUUACUGACGCUGAGGCUCGAAAGCGUGGGGAGCAAAC